UGCUCGGCCCACUUUGUGUUCCUCCAAGCGGUUUCACUUUUGCUCCACUUCCCGGCCUCCUGCGCUUGUGAACGACGAGUUUGGGCAGAGGCGUCAAGCUCUGCUGUUCAGCUUUCUGGUCUGUGUUUGCCUGUGAAAAGGUCUGGAGACGAGCAUUCCUGGCGAAAGCUAAAUUGGGCAUCAGCGGCACGUUAACAACAGACAAACCAGCUACUUGGUGGUAUCAACCUUAGCAGUUCAAACAAGACUACCCGCCCAAGGAGAAAAAAGUACAUCAAAUCUAUUCAACACCAGGAUGGAAGCACUUUCGUUGGAAGGGACCGUGAACAUGGG